rnacentral:misc_RNA from 1 species
GAAACGGUCAAGAUCAGCCUGAAAUAAGUGAACCCACACCCAAAUCAAAGAAGAGAAAAUGAGCAAACCCGAGGACACUGAAAAGAAGAUUCUAAAUAAGAAGCUUAAAGAUGUUGAGAUUAGCAUUCCAAUAGUUUACGGCAACAUCUCAUUCUGGCUUGGUAAAAAAGCUAACGAGUAUCAGUCACAUAAAUGGACUGUGUAUGUACGUGGGGCCACAAAUGAGGAUCUUGGUGUGGUGAUAAAACGAGCUGUUUUUCAGUUGCAUUCCAGUUUCAAUAAUCCAACAAGGGUCGUUGAAUCACCACCUUUUGAGUUAUCAGAAGCAGGGUGGGGUGAAUUCGAGAUUGCAAUAACACUGUAUUUCCACAGUGAUGUUUGUGAUAAACCCUUGAACUUAUAUCAUCAUUUGAAAUUGUACCCAGAGGAUGAAUCUGGUCCUAUGUCAACGAAGAAGCCUGUUGUUGUGGAAUCAUAUGAUGAGAUUGUGUUCCCUGAGCCUUCUGAGGGCUUCUUCGCUCGUGUGCAGAGUCAUCCUGCUGUAACCUUACCCAGAUUACCUGCUGGUUUUACUUUACCUCCUCCUGUACCAGUUGAGGAUGCAAGUAAAAGGAAGAGAGGCGACACUAAAGAUCAUCCUCUAAGCCAGUGGUUCAUGAAUUUCUCUGAAGCGGAUGAGCUGUUACAACUUGCAGCAGCUCGUCAGCAGUAUAGAUGCUAUUGAACUUUGUUCCUGCACAUGGACAAGCAAAUGUGUGAGUGUGUGCCUGCAUGUGUGUUGUCACUUUUGAGAGAGUGUCAGAGAAUUUGGAAUUGGAUUUGAGAGUGUGUGCCUGCAUGUGUGUUGUCACUUUUGAGAGAGUGUCAGAGAAUUUGGAAUUGGAUUUGAGAGUGUGCAGAGAGGAUUUGCUUGAACAAAGUCUC